rnacentral:sRNA from 1 species
GCGGUAAAUUAUGAUGUUAUGGAUCUAGGAGAUUACAUGGUA